rnacentral:rRNA from 1 species
GGAUCAAUAUAUUGGUCGUGCCUUCGGUAUGCACUGGUAUCAUUGAUUUCUACCUUCUGACGAACUAUGAUGUCAUUAAUUUGGUGUCAUGGGGAAUCAGGACUGUUACUUUGAAAAAAUUAGAGUGUUUAAAGCAGGCACACGCUUGAAUACAUUAGCAUGGAAUAAUGAAAUAGGACGACGAUCCUAUUUUGUUGGUUUCUAGGAUUGACGUA